rnacentral:tRNA from 1 species
GCCUAGUUAGCUUGGAGGGUAGCGUCUGCCUUGUAAGCACUAGGUCGCGGGUUCGAUUCCCGCCCCGGACA